UCUCAGUGAAGGUGAGGGGCAAGCAGGCCCAGCCCUGUCUCGUGUCAUCGGGGUUGCUCCAUAAUGGCUAGGUGGCUGAAUGGAUGGAUGUACUCCUUCGCGCCAGAGUCAGCUUUCACACAGUGCGAGGAUCUCAGGGCUGUGAGGCUAUGGCGUGGGGCGAAGAAGACUGCUUUUGUUGUCACCUACUCCAGUUUCUCUUCCCAAGGGUUCCCAAGCCCGUCCGCUCUGGGAGCUGGCUGCUUCUGGGUUUCACUUCUGCUCCUCAUGUACAUCAACCUCUACUGACCUAGGGCUCAGAAGUCCUUCUGGAGAAAGUCUUCCAAAGGGAAGGCGAUUCUGCCUUUGGGAAACCAGAGCACGUUUAGCCUGGUCCUGCUGUGAGAAGCUUCAGGGCCUGAGCGUGGCUCCACGUUGGAACCCUGUGGGAAGAUAAGGACACAUCUGAUCACCUUGGCACCCUGGCUUGGGCUUUCAGCCUCCAGAACUGGGAGUAAUAAAU